AUUGAACGCUGGCGGCAGGCUUAACACAUGCAAGUCGAGCGGGGUGAUGGUGCUUGCACUAUCACUUAGCGGCGGACGGGUGAGUAAUGCUUAGGAAUCUGCCUAUUAGUGGGGGACAACAUCUCGAAAGGGAUGCUAAUACCGCAUACGUCAUACGGGAGAAAGCAGGGGAUCACUUGUGACCUUGCGCUAAUAGAUGAGCAUAAGUCGGAUUAGCUAGUUGGUGGGGUAAAGGCCUACCAAGGCGACGAUCUGUAGCGGGUCUGGGAGGAUGAUCCGCCACACUGGGACUGAGACACGGCCCAGACUCCUACGGGAGGCAGCAGUGGGGAAUAUUGGACAAUGGGGGGAACCCUGAUCCGGCCAUGCCGCGUGUGUGAAGAAGGCCUUAUGGUUGUAAAGCACUUUAAGCGAGGAGGAGGCUCUUUUGGUUAAUACCCAAGAUGAGUGGACGUUACUCGCAGAAUAAGCACCGGCUAACUCUGUGCCAGCCGCCGCAGUAA
rnacentral:rRNA from 1 species